GAUGAACGCUGGCGGCGUGCUUAACACAUGCAAGUCGAACGAAGCACUUAAUGAGAUUUCUUCGGAUUGAUUAUUUUGUGACUGAGUGGCGGACGGGUGAGUAACGCGUGGGUAACCUGCCCCAGACCGGGGGAUAACAGUCGGAAACGACUGCUAAUACCGCAUAAGCGCACAGUGCCGCAUGGCACGGUGUGAAAAACUCCGGUGGUCUGGGAUGGACCCGCGUCCGAUUAGUUAGUUGGCGGGGUAACGGCCCACCAAGACCGCGAUCGGUAGCCGACCUGAGAGGGUGACCGGCCACAUUGGGACUGAGACACGGCCCAGACUCCUACGGGAGGCAGCAGUGGGGAAUAUUGCACAAUGGAGGAAACUCUGAUGCAGCGACGCCGCGUGAGCGAAGAAGUAUUUCGGUAUGUAAAGCUCUGUCAGCAGGGAAGAUAAUGACGGUACCUGACCAAGAAGCCCGGCUAACUACGUG
rnacentral:rRNA from 1 species